rnacentral:rRNA from 1 species
GCUAUACAUGCAGUCGAGCGAACAGACAAGGAGCUUGCUCCUUUGACGUUAGCGGCGGACGGGUGAGUAACACGUGGGUAACCUACCUAUAAGACUGGGAUAACUUCGGGAAACCGGAGCUAAUACCGGAUAAUAUUUCGAACCGCAUGGUUCGAUAGUGAAAGAUGGUUUUGCUAUCACUUAUAGAUGGACCCGCGCCGUAUUAGCUAGUUGGUAAGGUAACGGCUUACCAAGGCGACGAUACGUAGCCGACCUGAGAGGGUGAUCGGCCACACUGGAACUGAGACACGGUCCAGACUCCUACGGGAGGCAGCAGUAGGGAAUCUUCCGCAAUGGGCGAAAGCCUGACGGAGCAACGCCGCGUGAGUGAUGAAGGUCUUCGGAUCGUAAAACUCUGUUAUUAGGGAAGAACAUACGUGUAAGUAACUGUGCACGUCUUGACGGUACCUAAUCAGAAAGCCACGGCUAACUACGUGCCAGCAGCCGCGGUAAUACGUAGGUGGCAAGCGUUAUCCGGAAUUAUUGGGCGUAAAGCGCGCGUAGGCGGUUUUUUAAGUCUGAUGUGAAAGCCCACGGCUCAACCGUGGAGGGUCAUUGGAAACUGGAAAACUUGAGUGCAGAAGAGGAAAGUGGAAUUCCAUGUGUAGCGGUGAAAUGCGCAGAGAUAUGGAGGAACACCAGUGGCGAAGGCGACUUUCUGGUCUGUAACUGACGCUGAUGUGCGAAAGCGUGGGGAUCAAACAGGAUUAGAUACCCUGGUAGUCCACGCCGUAAACGAUGAGUGCUAAGUGUUAAGGGGGUUUCCGCCCCUUAGUGCUGCAGCUAACGCAUUAAGCACUCCGCCUGGGGAGUACGACCGCAAGGUUGAAACUCAAAGGAAUUGACGGGGACCCGCACAAGCGGUGGAGCAUGGGGGUUUAAUUCGAAGCAACGCGAAGAACCUUACCAAAUCUUGACAUCCUUUGACAACUCUAGAGAUAGAGCCUUCCCCUUCGGGGGACAAAGUGACAGGUGGUCAUGGUUGUCGUCAGCUCGUGUC